GUGAGAGAAUAUUUGCUUGAUCAUUUCCUGCAGCCUCUAGGUAAUAUAUACCAUAACACAAACUACAAAUGGUAUGUUACAAUUACAACACAUUUAUACGCACAUUGACAGGCAUAAACACAGCACACAAUCACAAUACUAAUUCACUCAAUCACAAUACUCAUCAUAGCCAGCAUUCUAAUAGUAGGGCUAUGUUGUAUGGGUACAGGUUGAAAUGCAAAAGAAUUAAGACUAUGGUGAUUAGAAAACAGUCAAGACCAAUAGUUCAAGUCAAGGUGAAUUGAAUACUAUUUACCACUCACAACUGCAACGCACUCUUUUGCUUUUGGCGCGUUUGUUGAUCUUAUUUUUCAUUCUUUUUCUUCCUUUUAUUGUAUCAAUCGACAACUUUUCUCAUUAUAUGUUUCUUUUCUUGGUAUCAUCUCAACACAAACAAAUAGCACCUUAUACCAAAUAUAUAUAAAAAAAUUAUCAUCUUAAAAUAACAAACACUGCAAAUAAAUAAAAAAUUGGUGCACCAAUAUAUAUCAAUCAUCUCCAACCGAUUUAAUACAACUAUAUUAGAAAAUUAUA
rnacentral:misc_RNA from 1 species